rnacentral:snoRNA from 1 species
GUGUAUGAUGAAUCCCAAGAUAGGGACAUCUGAUGCCAAUUGGCAUUUGAUGAGAAAACCUUGGGCGAGUGUAGUAGAUGACACUCUGAGUCUGAUU